rnacentral:tRNA from 1 species
GCCGGAGUAGCUCAGGUGGUCCGAGCGCGAGACUCAUAACCUGAUCGGCGGUUGUGAGUGCUGAUUCACGAGAUGAUGUGAGAAAUCUCGAGGUCGGGGUUCAACUCCCCGCUCCGGCA